GUAUUUCAUUAUACAUGACCCAUUCAAAGACAAAAAGACGUGUGUAUUGAAAACAUAGACAAGGAAUGCAUAGACGGUAGUCUAUACCAUUCCUCAAGUCUACGGAGGUGCACAGAUGAGUGGAGAUUAGGAUUUGUAAAGGAGUGCACAUAUACUCAGAUAGAGCCAGCACAUCCCAGAUAAUCACUAAUGAUCCUUCCGCAGGUUCACCUACGGAAA
rnacentral:misc_RNA from 1 species